GCUCUGCAAGCCAGUGUGGCAAAUACAUGCAUCUACCACCUGGGCCUUAUAAGAUAAUAGAUCCAAUGGUACUUGAAGUAGCUAUGAUAGGUAGGGAUGCAGGUAAUGAUCCUCAGGAGAAUGUAAUGAAGGGCAACAGAGUUUUGGAACACCUGGAUACUAUCUAAUUGUGAAAUGAAUAUUAUCUAAUUAUUGAGCUAUAAAUUCAGGCCUACACAGCUGUAAUAUGUCACCAAUGACAUUGAACUUCAGCAGAAGCUAAGGUAUAAGUUAAGUUGCUUGAACAUGUGAGUCGUACCCAGGUGAUACUUUGUAUUGUGGCAUUGCCACUUUUUCUUCAAACCCUAUGACAUCAUAGGCAUGAAUAAUGCUAUUCUAGUCCCACUCAGAGAUGACCCUGAAGGACAGUGGGUAAAGAAAAUUCUCCUAGAAGAAGUUCAGACAUUCAUCUGUGUUUCCCUUCACCUAGAAGAAAAGAUGGCCUGAGCCUGACUAGAUCACGACACCAUGUGAACAGACAGGUGCACAGAGACACAGGCGGAAGAAUGCCACGUGAAGAUCAAAGCAGAGAUUGGAGUUAUGCUGCCACAAGCCAAGGAACAAGUGCCACCAAAAGCUGGAAGAAGCAAAGAAUAUUCCCUUAGAGCUUUCAGAGGGAGCCAACACCUUGUUGCUUUCAGUCUUUUAACCUUAAAUCUGUGAAAGAAUAAACUUCUGUUGUUUUAAGUCA